AUGAAGAGAAAAGAGGAGGCUGAGAGAAACAGAGCCGCGAGAGAAAGGGAGAGGGAAGAGGAGAGGAAGGAGCACGAGCAGGGCGGCGCUCGCACCCAAACUCGACGGAUCAAGCACGGAGAGGAGACGAGGCGGAACUCGGGCGUGGAGACGAGGCGGAUCAGGGCAGUUCUCCUCCUGCGGGCGCUCGAGCCUAAUCCCAACGGGAUCUGUGGCUCCACCACCGACGGGGCCCUGCUGGCCUUCCCCCGCUGGCAUGGACGGGAUCUGUGGCUCCACCACCGACGGGGCCCUGCUGGCCUUCCCCCGCUGGCAUGGACGGGAUCUGUGGCUCCACCAUCGAUGGGACUUGAGACUUGA
rnacentral:rRNA from 1 species